ensembl:lncRNA
UGAAAGUGAGGCGUGUGGAGCCAAACAACCUGAGAGGAAGAGGAAUGAAUGGAGUGGGGUGAGACUCAAGGUGGGCAAAACCACUGGCAGCUAUGGCAAUGACCCAAGACUGUGGUGGAUACAAUGUCAGAGGAGAGGUGGCUGGAUGAGACACAUAUGAGCUGUGUUUCGAAAGGGAGUUUCAUAAGAAGGAAGAGAGCACAGCACAUCGCCUUGGCAACAGAGGUCAAAAGAACUAACAAAUGGUAAACAUCAGAAAAGGAGAGUGCGCAGGCUACAAAACAACUGGUGCCAGAAAUUCUCAAAGGUUAUACGUAUGGUGAAGUUUCAAGCCACCCCCAAAGCCUGGACACCCUUUCUACUUACUGUGAAGAGACAAAGAAAAAAAAAUACACCCAGAGCACAGAUGAUGAAGAAAGAAACAAAAACACAAAAAUAUAUAUGGAGGGAGGGAGAAAAGGAGAGGGAAAGAGAAGUGAAAAAGAGAGAAGAGGAAGAAGAGGAGGAAGAGGAGGAAGAAGAAGAUGAAGAUGAAGAAGAUGAAGACGAAGAAGAUGAAGAAGACGAAGAAGAGGAGGAGGAAGAAGAAUCAGAAGAAGAAUCAGAAGAAGAAGAGGAGGAAGAGGAAGAAGAUAGAUAGAAAAAUAACUGGAGAAGUGAUUCUUUUAAAUUUUGCCAAUCACCUCAAAAAGGUUAUAAAAGGUAGUGAUUUCUGUCAGCCUGUUUUUUCAUACUACGAGGAUCUGAUUCACCUGAGACUGGAACUUCCCUUCCCUUCCUUUCAUCUGAGUUUCUGUCUGAUUUUCAUUACAGUUGAGUGUUUCACAGUGCUCUGUGUUCCUGAAUAUCAAGAUGCCAUGAGACAAACAUUUCAAAAGCAAAAUCAAGAACUUUAGAAGCCAAGCAGGUACUAAUCUAUUUGUUUUAGAAAGGAGCAAAUUUUACCUCACCAAAAGAUUUAUUAAUCAACUCCCACAACUUCCAACUUAUCCACUUGAUCCCAGGAAGUGAGUGGUGACCCAAGCUUACCCACCUUAACAUGGGCUAAUGGAAAGAUUUUCAAUAUCAUUUUCUGAGAUGCUACAAAAUACUUAAAGAAAAUGUAGGAAGAUUCUCAAAACUUUGAAUAGGGGAUUAUGUCCACAGAAUAAAUAAAAAUAAGGAUUUCAGCAUCUUAAGUCUUCAAAAAAGAAAUCUUUUCUAGACCCAAAAGAAAGCACUGAGGUCAAUGUAGAGAACUUGGGAAAGACUGAAAAUAUGUAAAAUUGAAGUGUUAUCUCGAAUGAAACUUCCUGAGGUUACUGAAGAGACAAGAUUUCAAAAGUCAGCCAUUAGAGAAGACUCAAAUGUGUAGCAAUCUAUAACGAAUCUCCUCACGACCAAAGUUCUACUUUGGGCAAUCAAUCCCUUAUCACACCAUCACCAUUGGUGAACUUAUGGCGGAACAAAAAAAAAAAAAAAAGAAAGAAAGAAAGAAAAGAAAAGAAAAGAAAAAAUAAGUUUGCAUAAAAUCUAUCUUGCAACCCUCCCAUAUACCAUUGCCUGGAUUGGCAGAGGCAAAGCAAAAUAAAUCCACAGGAAAACCACCCCAAAUGAUAGACAUCACCAGCAGACUCCCAGGUCUCUUUGCUCCACUUAGUUUCAGAGGUGAGAAGCUACAACCCCAGGCCAAAGAAAGGCUGUUCUAGCAACUUGUUUGAUGUGGGAAUUUCAGAGACUCAAUAUGCAAGUGGUAUAGUAAACAGAGAAUUUGAAGCAUCAUCACAUGAUUCCAGAUGUGAAUGAUAAAACCCAUAACACUUUAAGCCAACAAACAUUUCCUAUACUACUAGAAUGUAGUUUUUUUUUUUUUUUUUUAAGUUUGUUCCACAUACCAAGGGAAUAUUCAUAUUGAGUAGUCUUUCCUACAAAUGACAGCUUCCACUCCCUACCCCAUCCCAGAAUGUGGUAUUUAUUUGACCACAAUGAAAAUAAAGUUACUGUUGCUUUUGCCUUCAUCAAGAGCAGCA